UACGUAGGUGGCGAGCGUUGUCCGGAUUUACUGGGCGUAAAGAGCGCGCAGGCGGUCGUUCAAGUCGCGUGUGAAAGCCCCCGGCUCAACUGGGGAGGGUCACGCGAUACUGAUCGACUCGAAGGCAGGAGAGGGUAGUGGAAUUCCCGGUGUAGCGGUGAAAUGCGUAGAGAUCGGGAGGAACACCAGAGGCGAAGGCGGCGACCUGGACAGGUACUGACACUCAACUACGAAAGCGUGGGGAGCAAACAGG
rnacentral:rRNA from 1 species